rnacentral:rRNA from 1 species
GAUGAACGCUAGCGGGAGGCCUAACACAUGCAAGCCGAGCGGUAUUUGUUCUUCGGAACAGAGAGAGCGGCGCACGGGUGCGGAACACGUGUGCAACCUGCCUUUAUCUGGGGGAUAGCCUUUCGAAAGGAAGAUUAAUACCCCAUAAUAUAUUGAGUGGCAUCAUUUGAUAUUGAAAACUCCGGUGGAUAGAGAUGGGCACGCGCAAGAUUAGAUAGUUGGUGAGGUAACGGCUCACCAAGUCAAUGAUCUUUAGGGGGCCUGAGAGGGUGAUCCCCCACACUGGUACUGAGACACGGACCAGACUCCUACGGGAGGCAGCAGUGAGGAAUAUUGGACAAUGGGUUAGCGCCUGAUCCAGCCAUCCCGCGUGAAGGACGACGGCCCCAUGGGUUGUAAACUUCUUUUGUAUAGGGAUAAACCUACUCUCGUGAGAGUAGCUGAAGGUACGAUACGAAUAAGCACCGGCUAACUCCGUGC